AAACCUUUGUCACUCCUUACGGGGGAGACAGUCAUGAGACGUGAGUAUAAGACCUGAGUGUAAAGACCUUAGGGUGAAGCAAUUGGAGGGCAAGCUUUGGUGCCAGCAGCCGCGGUAACUCCAACUCCAAGAGUGUCUAUGGUGGAUGCUGCAGUUAAAGGGUCCGUAGUCGUGAAUGCAAUUAAAUGUCGUUGUUCAAUAGCGAUGAGUUUGCUAAUGUUUGCGGAACGGAUAGGGAGUGUAGUAUAGACUGGCGAAGAAUGAAAUCUCAAGACCCAGUUUGGACUAACGGAGGCGAAGGCGACACUCUUAGACGUAUCUUAGGAUCAAGGACGAAGGCAGGAGUAUCGAAAGUGAUUAGACACCGCUGUAGUUCCUGCAGUAAACUAUGCCGACAGCCUGUGUGUGAGGAUACGUGGGCGGGAGAAAUCUUAGUGUUCGGGCUCUGGGGAUAGUACGCUCGCAAGGGUGAAACUUAAAGCGAAAUUGACGGAAGGACACUACCAGGAGUGGAUUGUGCUGCUUAAUUUAACUCAACGCGGGAAAACUUACCAGGGUCAAGUCAUUCGUUGAUCGAAUACGUGAGAAUGGCAGGUGGGUGGGUGGG
rnacentral:rRNA from 1 species